UAAAGAAUAGUUUUGGUUAUGUUGUAACAUACACACAAAAACAAAGAUAUAUCUAGUUACAAACUUACAAUAUUUGAUUUUGAGGUUAAGAAGUUUGUUUUAAUCAUCCGGAUACAAAUUGAAAUAGAAGAUUUCUGUAGGAUUUUUUUUUUUUUUUUCAUCGAGCAAAAUAUCGCAAAAGCAUAAUAUCAAAGAUUGAGAAGCUUGUAAGCAAAACAUUGGUACUCGUGGCAGGCAUUAAGAACAACUCACUCAUCUUAAGUACCGGUACAUUAGACAUGAGAUUACAACAUUUGAUGUGUCAUCAUCAUCCACAUGUUGGUCUCUUAUUGGUUUACAUGGUUAGAUCUCAUAGAUUAUGUAGUUGUAGUAACACAGAGAAGAUCUAAGCAUGAGGUUAAUUUAACACGUGUCAACUUUAGAUCAGCC
rnacentral:lncRNA from 1 species